rnacentral:lncRNA from 1 species
AAAUGCAUUAGCUUAUGGUUAUAGUGGUAUGGCAUGUUUAUGACUGGUAAGUUAUGCAUAUGGAAUGAGUGGGGAAAGUAAAGAAAUGCAAAUGAAAAUUUAGAAAUUUAGAAUAGUUAAAGUUGUUGAAUAUACUUUAUGAAUAUUGGGGCAUCAAUAUUGGAUUAUUAUGGAUAUGUAUAAAUUUCUUAUUUAAAAUGAAUUGAUAUGAUUAAAGUUUAUACGAGCCUACUAAGCACUCAUUGCUUACGUAAUUGUUUUCCUUUACUUUUUAGAUUAUC